CUUCAAAUAAAACUAAGUUCAAUACCAACACACUAAAUAUUAUCAGGAGAAGCUGCCCUGAUGCGGUACAGCUGUGCAUUCCCAUUCUGUGGUGGUUCUGUGACAGCCUCGGAAACACCAGAGUGUAGAAAGUAUCCAUCCCCACAUUUGUGGGGCUCUGGACUUUUUCUGCUUCUUGCUAAGUCAGGGUCUAUCCCACAGAGGGACUGUGUGCCAGAAGCAGGUGGGAAAGUGACAGAGCCCAACAGAGUCAAGGCCAGCCAGGAGUGGGAAAGAAUGAGAGCCUUUGAGUUGGGAAUGACCAGAAAGUGUUUGGUAAUCUUUAUCUUUUCUUUCUUUUACUUGAGAUGUAAUCUCACUAUGUAGCCUUGGCUGGCCUGCAAUUCAGACAUCUGCCUUCCUCUGCCUCCUAAGUGCUGGAACUAGAGGCGUGCACUACCAUACCAGGGCCUGAGCAGAGAGAACCUCACUGGAUCAAGAACCACAACUGGCCAGAUGGGUAGUGAUGCAUGCCUUUAAUCUCACCACUCGGGAGACAGAGGCCAAGUUCCACAACAAUGUGGCCGUUUGUCCAUCAAAAAUCUGAAUCUAGAAGAUGGAAGUGACUGGC
rnacentral:lncRNA from 1 species